rnacentral:rRNA from 1 species
CAGCACCUCAAGUGGUCAGGAUGAUUAUUGGGCCUAAAGCAUCCGUAGCCGGCGCUGUAAGUUGUCGGUUAAAUCUGUACGCUCAACGUACAGGCUGCCGGGAAUACUGCAGCGCUAGGGAGUGGGAGAGGUAGACGGUACUCGGUAGGAAGGGGUAAAAUCGUUUGAUCUAUUGAUGACCACCUGUGGCGAAGGCGGUCUACCAGAACACGUCCGACGGUGAGGGAUGAAAGCUGGGGGAGCAAACCGGAUUAGAUACCCGAGUAGUCC